rnacentral:rRNA from 1 species
GAUGAACGCUGGCGGCGUGCCUAAUACAUGCAAGUCGAGCGAACAGACGAGGAGCUUGCUCCUCUGACGUUAGCGGCGGACGGGUGAGUAACACGUGGAUAACCUACCUAUAAGACUGGAUAACUUCGGGAAACCGGAGCUAAUACCGGAUAAUAUAUUGAACCGCAUGGUUCAAUAGUGAAGGACGGUUUUGCUGUCACUUAUAGAUGGAUCCGCGCCGCAUUAGCUAGUUGGUAAGGUAACGGCUUACCAAGGCGACGAUGCGUAGCCGACCUGAGAGGGUGAUCGGCCACACUGGAACUGAGACACGGUCCAGACUCCUACGGGAGGCAGCAGUAGGGAAUCUUCCGCAAUGGGCGAAAGCCUGACGGAGCAACGCCGCGUGAGUGAUGAAGGUCUUCGGAUCGUAAAACUCUGUUAUUAGGGAAGAACAAAUGUGUAAGUAACUAUGCACGUCUUGACGGUACCUAAUCAGAAAGCCACGGCUAACUACGUG